UACAGAGGGUGCAAGCGUUAAUCGGAAUUACUGGGCGUAAAGCGCGCGUAGGUGGUUUGUUAAGUUGGAUGUGAAAUCCCCGGGCUCAACCUGGGAACUGCAUUUGUGACUGCAAGGCUAGAAUCUGGCAGAGGGGGGUAGAAUUCCACGUGUAGCAGUGAAAUGCGUAGAUAUGUGGAGGAAUACCGAUGGCGAAGGCAGCCCCCUGGGCUAAGAUUGACGCUCAUGCACGAAAGCGUGGGGAGCAAACAGG
rnacentral:rRNA from 1 species